AACGUAGGACGCGAGCGUUAUCCGGAUUUACUGGGCGUAAAGCGCGGGCAGGCGGUCUGACAAGUCUGAUGUGAAAUCUCCGGGCUUAACCGGGAGAGGCCAUUGGAAACUGACAGGCUGGAGGGCAGUAGAGGUAGGCGGAAUUCCGGGUGGAGUGGUGAAAUGCGUAGAGAUCCGGAGGAACACCAGAGGCGAAGGCGGCCUACUGGGCUGAACCUGACGCUGAGCCGCGAAAGCCAGGGGAGCGAACGGG
rnacentral:rRNA from 1 species